UACGUUCCCGGGCCUUGUACACACCGCCCGUCACACCACGAAAGUCGGCAACACCCGAAGCCGGUGGCCCAACCCUUGUGGAGGGAGCCGUCGAAGGUGGGGUCGGUGAUUGGGGUG
rnacentral:rRNA from 1 species